AUGGUCUUGCUUCAAACACCACUCAAGGCGUUUAGAAAGUUUCUCCCACUCUUUGACCGAGUAUUGGUUGAAAGGAGUGCUGCUGAAACUGUAACCAAAGGAGGCAUUAUGCUUCCAGAAAAAUCUCAAGGAAAAGUAUUGCAAGCAACAGUAGUCGCUGUUGGAUCGGGUUCUAAAGGAAAGGGUGGAGAGAUUCAACCAGUUAGCGUGAAAGUUGGAGAUAAAGUUCUUCUCCCAGAAUAUGGAGGCACCAAAGUAGUUCUAGAUGACAAGGAUUAUUUCCUAUUUAGAGAUGGUGACAUUCUUGGAAAGUACGUAGACUGAAAUAAGUCACUAUUGAAAUGGCAUCAAUGUGAAGCUGCCCAUUCCACUGAAGUUCUGAAAUCUUUCAUCAUGUAAAUAAUUUCCAUAUCUCUCUUUUAUAAUAAACUAAUGAUAACUGAUGAC